rnacentral:rRNA from 1 species
ACGAUGGAUGCCCGCCGUGGGUAUUUUUUAUUUCCGCGGCCAAGCGAAAGCGUUAAGCAUCCCACCUGGGGAGUACGCCGGCAACGGUGAAACUCAAAGGAAUUGACGGGGGCCCGCACAAGCGGAGGAACAUGUGGUUUAAUUCGAUGAUACGCGAGGAACCUUACCCGGGCUUGAAUUGCAGGAGCACGAUACAGAGAUGUUGAGGUCCUUCGGGACUCCUGCGAAGGUGCUGCAUGGCUGUCGUCAG